rnacentral:rRNA from 1 species
CCUACGGGAGGCAGCAGUUGGGAAUCGUUGUCAAUGGGGGAAACCCUGAUUACGCGACGCCGCGUGGUGGAGGAAGGGUCUAGGCUCGUAAACUCCUUUUUCAGGGAAAGACUUAGGACGGUACCCUGAGAAUAAGCUCCGGCUAACUACGUGCCAGCAGCCGCGGUAAGACGUAGGGAGCGAGCGUUGUCCGGAUUUACUGGGCGUAAAGAGCACGUAGGCGGUCUGUUAAGUGAGAAGUGAAAUCUCCAGCGCUCAACGCGGAAACGGCUUUUCAUACUGGCAGACUUGAGGGAUGCAGAGGCAAGUAGAAUUCCUGGUGUACCGGUGACAUGGGUUGAUAUCAGGAGGAAUACCAAUGGCGAAGGCAGCUUGCUGGGCAUCAUCUGACGCUGAGGUGCGAAAGCGUGGGUAGCAAACAGGAUUAGAUACCCUGGUAGUCCACGCCCUAAACGAUGGAUACUAGGCGUAUGGGGUAUCGACCCCCCAUGUGCCGUAGCUAACGCAUUAAGUAUCCCGCCUGGGGAGUACGGCCGCAAGGUUGAAACUCAAAUGAAUUGACGG